AGCAGCCGCGGUAAUUCCAGCUCCAAUAGCGUAUAUUAAAGUUGUUGCAGUUAAAAAGCUCGUAGUUGAAUUUCGGGAUCAAAGAAUCGGUCAUGCCUUGGUAUGUACUGGUUUUAUUGGUUCUCACCUUCUAAAGAACCAUAAUGUCAUUUAUUUGAUGUUAUGGGGAAUUAGGACUGUUACCUUGAAAAAAUUAGAGUGUUUAAAGCAAGCUUACGCUUGAAUACAUUAGCAUGGAAUAAUGAAAUAGGACAUCAGAUUCUAUUUUGUUGGUUUCUAGGAUCGAUGUAAUGAUUAAUAGGGAUAGUUGGGGGCAUUAGUAUUCAAUUGUCAGAGGUGAAAUUCUUGGAUUUAUUGAAGACUAACUACUGCGAAAGCAUUUGCCAAGGAUGUUUUCAUUAAUCAAGAACGAAAGUUAGGGGAUCGAAGACGAUCAGAUACCGUCGUAGUCUUAACCAUAAACUAUGCCGACUAGGGAUCGGAUGAUGUUAAUUUUUUAAUGACUCAUUCGGCUACCG
rnacentral:sRNA from 1 species